rnacentral:tRNA from 1 species
GCCGAGGUGGCGAAAUGGCAACCGCAAUCGACUCAAAAUCGAUCGUCGCAAGACUUGAGGGUUCGAGUCCCUCCCUCGGCA